CUGAUAACAAAUGCAGCUCGCUCACUGGGCUCCACAUAACAUCCAUCUGGAAAAACACCAACAUGCACCACAUGGAAAAGAGGAGGAUCCUCAUCUGCUUGGACUGCAGUUAAGAGCUAGGGCUAGGACUUGGAGGAUGUGUAGGCAAACGGAAAGAGAGACGGGGGAAGAAAAACCGAAAUGGAUUCAUUCUCUGUCCUGGAUGGAGGAGGAGAGGAGAAGAGAAGGGGACGUGCGAGCUUCCUUCAACUGCCUCUGUCCGGUGAAAAGUGCUCAGACCCCCGGGGCUGCGCCGGGCUCCGGAGUCCGCGCGGACUUUCGCGUUCAGCUGCCAAUCAAACCUCUCACAGCCACCACCCUGCUCUGGCACCGACAUGGUAUGUGUGAUCUCCUCCCAUGA
rnacentral:lncRNA from 1 species